AUUGAACGCUGGCGGCAUGCCUUACACAUGCAAGUCGAACGGUAACGGGCCUUCGGGUGCCGACGAGUGGCGAACGGGUGAGUAAUACAUCGGAACGUGCCCGAUCGUGGGGGAUAACGAGGCGAAAGCUUUGCUAAUACCGCAUACGAUCUACGGAUGAAAGCAGGGGACCGCAAGGCCUUGCGCGGGCGGAGCGGCCGAUGGCCGAUUAGGUAGUUGGUGGGAUAAAAGCUUACCAAGCCGAAGAUCUGUAGCUGGUCUGAGAGGAUGAUCAGGCACACUGGGACUGAGACACGGCCCAGACUCCUACGGGAGGCAGCAGUGGGGAAUUUUGGACAAUGGGCGCAAGCCUGAUCCAGCCAUGCCGCGUGCAGGAUGAAGGCCUUCGGGUUGUAAACUGCUUUUGUACGGAACGAAAAGCCUUCUUUUAAUACAGGGGGGUCAUGACGGUACCGUAAGAAUAAGCACCGGCUAACUACGUG
rnacentral:rRNA from 1 species